rnacentral:rRNA from 1 species
UUGGAGGGCAAGUCUGGUGCCAGCAGCCGCGGUAAUUCCAGCUCCAAUAGCGUAUAUUAAAGUUGUUGCAGUUAAAAAGCUCGUAGUUGAAUUUCGGGAUAGACGUGAUGGUCAUGCCUUAAGGGGUAUGAACUGUCGCUGUUGAUUUCUCACCUUCUGGAGAAACUUGAUGUCCUUAAUUGGGUGUCUUGCGGAUCCAGGACCUUUACCUUGAAAAAAUUAGAGUGUUUAAAGCAGGCAUUUUUGCUCGAAUACAUUAGCAUGGAAUAAUAGAAUAGGACGGCAUGGUUCUAUUUUGUCGGUUUCUAGGAUCACCGUAAUGAUUAAUAGGGAUAGUUGGGGGCAUUAGUAUUCAAUUGUCAGAGGUGAAAUUCUUGGAUUUAUUGAAGACUAACUACUGCGAAAGCAUUUGCCAAGGAUGUCUUCAUUAAUCAAGAACGAAAGUUAGGGGAUCGAAGACGAUCAGAUACCGUCGUAGGCUUAACCAUAAACUAUGCCGACUAGGGAUCGGAUGAUGUUAAUUUUUUAAUGACUCAUUCGGCGCCUUACGGGAAACCAAAGUGUUUGGGUUC